rnacentral:lncRNA from 1 species
CUGGGACCUGCAAUUGCUCUUGGCCUCCUCUUGCCGUCUGGCUGCACUGAGCAGCUGUGUGGACCAUGUAGAGGAGGAGUCCUCCUGCACCUCUCAGAUGCCAGGAAAGAUGCCAGGAGUAGGGCAGGUCCUGUGUGACAGACAUGUGUGAAUGUCCAGUGCACAAAAAC